rnacentral:rRNA from 1 species
CCUACGGGAGGCAGCAGUGGGGAAUAUUGGACAAUGGAGGGAACCCUGAACCAGCGACGCCGCGUGAGUGAAGACGUAUUUCGGUAUGUAAAGCUCUAUCAGCAGGGAAGAAAGAACUGACGGUACCUGACGAAGAAGACCCGGCUAACUACGUGCCAGAAGCAGCGGUAAUACGUAGGGGGCAAGCGUUAUCCGGAUUUACUGGGUGUAAGGGGAGCGUAGACGGCGAUGCAAGUCUGAAGUGAAGGCGGGGGCCCAACCCCUGGACUGCCUUGGAAACUGUAUGGCUGGAGUGCAGGAGAGGUAAGUGGAAUUCCUAGUGUAGCGGUGAAAUGCGUAGAUAUUAGGCGGAACACCAGUUGCGAAGGCGGCUUACUGGACUGUAACUGACGUUGAGGCUCGAAAGCGUGGGGAGCAAACACGAUUAGAUACCCCUGUAGUC